GACGAACGCUGGCGGCGUGCUUAACACAUGCAAGUCGAACGGAAAGGCCCUGCUUUUGUGGGGUGCUCGAGUGGCGAACGGGUGAGUAACACGUGAGUAACCUGCCCUUGACUUUGGGAUAACUUCAGGAAACUGGGGCUAAUACCGGAUAGGAGCUCCUGCUGCAUGGUGGGGGUUGGAAAGUUUCGGCGGGUGGGGAUGGACUCGCGGCUUAUCAGCUUGUUGGUGGGGUAGUGGCUUACCAAGGCUUUGACGGGUAGCCGGCCUGAGAGGGUGACCGGCCACAUUGGGACUGAGAUACGGCCCAGACUCCUACGGGAGGCAGCAGUGGGGAGUAUUGCACAAUGGGAGGAAGCCUGAUGCAGCAACGCCGCGUGCGGGAUGACGGCCUUCGGGUUGUAAACCGCUUUCGCCUGUGACGAAGCGUGAGUGACGGUAAUGGGUAAAGAAGCACCGGCUAACUACGUG
rnacentral:rRNA from 1 species